rnacentral:rRNA from 1 species
UACGGGGGGUGCGAGCGUUGUCCGGAAUCACUGGGCGUAAAGGGCGCGUAGGUGGCCUGAUAAGGGUGUGGUGAAAGUCCGGGGCUCAACCCCGGAUCUGCCGUGCCGACUGUUAGGCUAGAGUACUGUAGGGGCAGGCGGAAUUCCGGGUGUAGCGGUGGAAUGCGUAGAGAUCCGGAGGAAGACCGGUGGCGAAGGCAGCCUGCUGGGCAGUUACUGACACUGAGGCGCGACAGCGUGGGGAGCAAACAGG